rfam:Capronia coronata CBS 617.96 acBCG-supercont1.6, whole genome shotgun sequence.
ACAAUUGUCUCAGUUGCCUUUUGGCUUAGAUCAAGUGUAGUAUCUGUUCUUUUCAGUUUAAUCUCUGAAAUCAUCCUACGGGAUGAAUACAUUGAUUAUUCUCAUUUUUGGAGAUGGCCGGUUAAACCCCUCUGUGCUUGCGCAAUGGGUUUCUGGCACCGUGUCCGAGGCCUUACACUACUGCCUUGUGACGCGAAACCCU